rnacentral:rRNA from 1 species
AACUUUCAACAAUGGAUCUCUUGGUUCCGGCAUCGAUGAAGAACGCAGCGAAAUGCGAUAAGUAAUGCGAAUUGCAGAAUUCCGUGAGUCAUCGAAUCUUUGAACGCACAUUGCGCCCCCCGGCUGCCCGGGGGGCAUGCCUGUCCGAGCGUCA